CAAUAAACACAAAAUAUUCCACUUUUCACUCACUCUAUAUGAGUUAUUGGCAAUUUAGACUCCAACCAAAGCUUGAGUGUUGAGACUCAAGAAACUGCUCUUAGUUUAAAGGUGGGAAGUGAAGAAAUGAUUAGUGAAAGUUCAAUUCCUCUUAAUUAAUUAUUGGAAGGAGAAAUGAUUAGCCUAGCAUUGCUGAAUGCUAGGCAGCCAAAUGUGGUUUCAAGGCAAUGAGUUCAUACAGCAAAUUAAGGUAUCUAAGAAAUCAUUUAACAUUAUUCGACUAUUUUCGAAAUGAUUUUUCGCAUUUUAUUUGUUUUGUAUUUCAACCUCAUCUUUAGCAAUGUAUCAUGUGUUGUGAGAAUGAAUACAAAUUCACUAUGUUUUGUGCUGCUAUCAAUCUACCAAAACACUUCUCUUUUAUGUGAACUUGGAACCUGCAUUGUCAAUAAACUCUCAAUUACUUUUUUGGAAUUGAAGCGCAGUUAUUGUUGAACGUUACUUUCAGAAAGUUGCUAGCUUGGUUUACCUGCAGCCAUGUCGUCACCACCUUGCUGGCCGGCUGUCCUAACGAUACCUCCCGGCAUUAGUCCGGCAGCAUUGCUUGAUUCUCCGGUGAUGUUUCCAAGUUCAGUGGUAUUGGCUUUUUUUUGUUGUUUUAAUUAAUU
rnacentral:lncRNA from 1 species